UGACAAGCUGUAAGGCCAUGAAUAUGAUGAGAAUAUGAGAUAACAAUGUUACAUGAAGAAAAAGGAAGAAGAAGAAGAAGCAGGAGAGCGGUCAGAGGAGCAGAGGACGGCAAUGAGAGGGAACAAGGAUAGAUGUGGCUCUGUGCAUCUCGUUUAGCUGUUUGAAACCUUGGCAUGGCUCAUAAGUUGGUUAUGAGGAUAUUUUCUUAGGGUCUUUUUUCAACUUCAGCCUUGCACGACCCUUCUAGUUCUCCUCGUCAAGUGUAAAAUCCUCCGGUUGAUUGCCCUUCAGUGAUGGAUGGUAGCGUUGCUUCCUUCUUGCUAUUGCACGGAGGAUGCCAAGUAAACAAGCAGAGAGGAGAGUGGCGUCUCAGAGCUCUUCAGCAUUUCACAAAACGCUAAGAAUCAGCCACUGCUAGAGGUGGAUAGAGAUUUCAGAAAUGCCACAUGCCAAAAAAUCAAGCCCUCCAAAAGACACAACACCAAAAAACCUAGCCCAUAAACGUCACAACCUAUAUCGGCUUCAUGCGCUAACACAGAGACAUAAAGGUCUAGGAAAUGGUAAUAAGCACUCACCUACUAUAAAAACUCAAAAAUUUAUUUACAACUCUGCCCCGCACGGCAAUGAGAGAAGUCUUAUUCUUGGG
rnacentral:misc_RNA from 1 species